rnacentral:rRNA from 1 species
UUGAACGCUGGCGGCAUGCUUUACACAUGCAAGUCGCACUGCAGCGCGGGCUUCGGCCUGGCGGCGAGUGGCGAACGGGUGAGUAAUGCAUCGGAACGUGCCCAGUAGUGGGGGAUAGCCCGGCGAAAGCCGGAUUAAUACCGCAUACGACCUGAGGGUGAAAGCGGGGGACCGAAAGGCCUCGCGCUAUUGGAGCGGCCGAUGUCGGAUUAGCUAGUUGGUGGGGUAAAGGCUUACCAAGGCGACGAUCCGUAGCUGGUCUGAGAGGACGACCAGCCACACUGGGACUGAGACACGGCCCAGACUCCUACGGGAGGCAGCAGUGGGGAAUUUUGGACAAUGGGGGCAACCCUGAUCCAGCCAUGCCGCGUGCGGGAAGAAGGCCUUCGGGUUGUAAACCGCUUUUGUUCGGGAAGAAAUCCUCUGGGCUAAUACCCCGGGGGGAUGACGGUACCGGAAGAAUAAGCACCGGCUAACUACGUG